ACCUUUAUGCGCUGCGUAAACAUGACGAUUUCGGUUUCAUGCCACUGUGUGAGAUGUAUCUCCUUCAGACUUGGUUAGGAUGUAAGAAUAUGACUAUCUGGAA